rnacentral:rRNA from 1 species
AUGUACAUGAUAACUGGGCGAUACAGUGUAUCUUCAGAAGAUCCAUUCCAAGCACAUGCUGGCGGUGGAGCUCAGCAUACAUCUGAAGUCGAUGACCAACAUGAUAUAGAUCUUGAACCUUUUGUUGACAAUCGAUUUUCAGAAAGCUUGAAUGAUUUGAACUGGGACAAUGAAAUGCAGACAGAAGCAGGAGGAAACAAAAACGGCUCUAUGGUGUCAAAUGAGAUUGCUUCUGACAAUGAUUCUGAUUCCGAGGAUGAUCUUUCUUUGUCGUUGUUGCAAAACGCCUCUGAAAUUGCUGUUACAACUGCUGGAGAACAAGAGAACAGUGGUACAACUGGUGAAGUUCAAAAAUUAACACAGGAAGACAUACUGAUAUUCCUUGAAAAUGACAGUAUAGAAGCUGCUCAAAGUGCUAGCCAAGAAGUGCGCAGCCAUCACGUACCCCAUGUGGACAUGGUCUUUGAUACGGAUGAUGCAGCUUACAACUUUUACAAUGAGUAUGCCUCAAUUGCUGGUUUUUCUGUGAUUAAAGCAUCUCGCUAUUGUGGCAAGAAACAAGGAGGCAGUGCAGCAACUCGGGUAACUUUCAAGUGCAAUCGGUCAGGAAGAGUAAUUGAUGAAGAAGAACAAGAGAAUAGGAAGAAGAAACGACGUGACACAAGGCAACAGAAGACAGGACAAGAGCCCUAUCGCAACGCAAGGAAGAAAAAAGUAAACACCAUUGCAAUAACAUGA